UCGGGUUUCCGAAAUGGUAGA
rnacentral:piRNA from 1 species